AGGAGGGAUGGGUGGCAGGGGUAGAAUGGUGUGGGAAGAGCUUCCUGCUGAUUUUUGAGUUUGAGUGUGAGGUUGUUGGAGUGGCGUGAAAUGUGGAGGACGACACGGAGGAUGACCUGAAACAUCCCUCGACCGGACCAUGUACAGGAGGUAUUUGUCUGUGAAACAUGUCUUGGAACAUUAUUUGUUAAUUAUUUCAGUAAAAUUUGAUAUUGAUAGUAUGUACUGGUGGGACUUAAUUCAAUACAAAAGUUUUAUUUUUGCACCAAGAUGAAAAAAAAAUGGUGAAAUGUAUUUACCUACAGAUGUUUAUAAAUAUCCUCCUUUCCUUUUAAACCAUAAGUAAACACAUAUUAUACCUACUCUUUUUUGUUUUUUACAACAAAAGAACAGAUUGUGUAGAUGAAAAUGGAUAUUCUUAAUUGACUUAUAUCUUCAUCACCAGAACCACCCCCCGGAGAGGACGACGACCUGAAUGAUCCUACGAUCGGACCAUCAUCAGGAGGUAUUUGUCAUUGAAAUAUGUCUUGGAAUAUUAUUUGUCCAUUUCUUUAUCACUAAUUUCAGUAACAUAAGAAAAAUAUCUACUGGUGGGACUUUGGUUCAAUGUAAAGUUUUAUUUUUGCCCUUUGGUAAAAAAUGAAAAUUGUUAAACGUAUUUACUGACAGAUUAUUGUAAAUGUACUUCUUAAACUGACACGUCUUCAUCACCAGGACGACCCCCUGGACAGGAGGACGACCUGAAGGAUCCCACGACCGGACCAUCUUCAGGAGGACCACCCCCUGGAGGACGACCCGAAGGAUCCCAUGACCAGACCAUUUACAGGAGGACCACCACUUGGAGAGGAGGAUGACCGGGAGGGUCCAACGACCAGACCAUCUUCAGGAGGAUCACCCCCUUGAGAUGACGACCCGAAGGAUCUCCUAACGAGGACCACCCCCUGGAGGACGACCUGAUGGAUCCCACGACCGGACCAUCUACAGGAGGACCACCCUCUGGACAGGACAACGAGCAGAGAAGAACCCAAAGGAAUCCACGACAGGACCAUCUACAGGAGAAAGCUGCCAAGCCAAAUAUUGAAAGCCACCCAAGAAGCAUAUGCUCUGUCCAGACAAGGGUCUUCCAUUCAACCUGGAUUGUAGCAUCCCCUCUUCUGCAUUAUGUCAUUCAGCCAAGUGAGAGUGCUUGCUGACAUGGUCAAAUUGUGUCAAUAGCACUGUGAAACAAUCUUUUAUUCAGUCGGUCAAGAACUAACGGACAAUUGCCAGGCAUCUAGAAUCCCGCCAACAUGCAGCUGCUCUUGAAUGGACUAGUCACUUCCUCCAGAUAGCUACCAUGGACAACUUUAAAAGCUGAUGAAGCAGUUUUAUUUCUCUUGUGAAGUUAUGUUGAUAGUACUGUAAAACCAGUAAAGACUCAAGAGAACAACAUUCCUUGUAUGAUAUCCAGCUGGAGAUUUUAUUUAUAAGAAGUCACUGAGAUACAUGUUCACUGAUUUAGAACAAGACAUUUCGUUCUUACUUUCAGUCCAAACUUUGGUGAUAUUAGAAGGUCUAGCCACUAUUCUGGUCAAACAAGUCUCACAGUGCUCUGGUGCUACAUUUUCUGUAUAUCACACUCAGGCUUAAAGUGACACAGUGGGGCUGUAGCUGUAGAGAAGGGCAGAUAGGUUGAUAGGGAGCUAGGUGGUUAGGCUAGGUUCAGAGUAGGAUUUCGUAGGUGUUGCCAUGGCCAU